rnacentral:sRNA from 1 species
CUUGGUCAUUUAGAGGAAGUAAAAGUCGUAACAAGGUUUCCGUAGGUGAACCUGCGGAAGGAUCAUUCAUAAUAAGUGUUUUAUGGCACUUUUUAAAUCCAUAUCCACCUUGUGUGCAAUGUCGGUCGAUCUUCUUCAUGGAGAUCGACCAAACAUCAACCUUUAUUUUUUAACUCUUUGUCUGAAAAAUAUUAUGAAUAAACAAUUCAAAAUACAACUUUCAACAACGGAUCUCUUGGCUCUCGCAUCGAUGAAGAACGCAGCGAAAUGCGAUACGUAAUGUGAAUUGCAGAAUCCAGUGAAUCAUCGAAUCUUUGAACGCAUAUUGCGCCCUUUGGUAUUCCGAAGAGCAUGCUUGUUUGAGUAUCAGUAAACACCUCAAAGCUUUUGGAUUUUUUAAUCGAAAAGCUUUGGACUUGAGCAAUCCCAACACCAAUCUUUUUGAGAUCGGUGGCGGGUUGCUUGAAAUGCAGGUGCAGCUGGACAUUCUCCUGAGCUAAAAGCAUAUUCAUUUAGUCCCGUCAAACGGAUUAUUACUUUUGCUGCAGCUAACAUAAAGGGAGUUUGACCGUAUUGGCUGACUGAUGCAGGAUUUCACAAGGGUCGGCAACGAUUCUUGUUAAACUCGAUCUCAAAUCAAGUAAGACUACCCGCUGAACUUAAGCAUAUCAAUAAGCGGAGGAAAAGAAACUAACAAGGAUUCCCCUAGUAACGGCGAAUGAAGCGGGAUGAGCUCAAAUUUAAAAUCUGGCUGGUUUACUAGUCCGAAUUGUAGUUUAUAGAAGCGUUUUCGGUGGCAGCCUGGGUAUAAAUCCUUUGGAAUAGGGUAUCAUAGAGGGUGAGAAUCCCGUCUUUGACUCAGUGCAUGCUACUAUGUGAUACGUUUUCAAAGAGUCGAGUUGUUUGGGAAU